rnacentral:rRNA from 1 species
UACAGAGGGUGCAAGCGUUAAUCGGAAUUACUGGGCGUAAAGCGUGCGUAGACGGUUAUGUAAGUCGGGUGUGAAAGCCCCGGGCUCAACCUGGGAAUUGCAUUCGAGACUGCAUAGCUAGGGUGCGGAAGAGGGAAGCGGAACUUCCGGUGUAGCGGUGAAAUGCGUAGAUAUCGGAAGGAACACCAGUGGCGAAAGCGGCUUCCUGGUCCAGCACCGACGUUCAGGCACGAAAGCGUGGGGAGCAAACAGG